GCGAUCACACUGAAAAAGGUUCUUUACGAACUCCUUCAUUUUUUUCCUUUUUACGAUUAUUUUGGGGAUUACAACCAACCAGAGCUCGCAGGAAAGGGGAGCGGCUCGUCUUGGUGGGAGGGGCUUUGGAAUUAGUUGACCACAUUCUAGGCAUCUCCCUAGUAUCAGAGGAAGAGCAGACGAACCGAGAGAACCUCGCGACCAUGAAGGUCACAAGCAUUACACUUUACGUUGGAGGCUCGACCCCCCACCAUGAACACUGUAUAUAGGAGGCUCUAUGACCGUCAGCCCUCCACUGUUUAGUGGUAUGUUCGAGCACAUCGACGCCCAAAGACGCAGUGGUGGAUCUCUGAACACUUCAGGUGUGUGAAUUACGAGCGGCUCCAAGAGAGGUAGACGACCGACCAGGCCCUUACCACCGUCAGCAGCAGAGGUAGCUAGUAUAAGACUGCACAAUCUGGUUUUGAGUUAUGAUCGCAAGCUGCGGAAAUUAAGAAGGGGGGGUUCUACGACCUGGGUGCAAAGGGAUUAGCAUUUGAGGCAAGAUUUCCCGAACUUCAAUUGCUUCUGUGAGUGGCACGAGCUCGUCACAACAGGAUAAUUAGGAGCUUGCCAUGCAGGCCGCUACUUUAAAUGAAGAGCUUCUUCAUAUGCAUGAUGGCCUGCAAAGAGUUGAGGACAAUAAAACACCUCUGAAGGAGAGCAACGUAGAUUGCCGGUUUAAGCUGUCGAUGAGUUUUGUUACUGAUGAGGUGGAGGAAAUUGAU